UGGUGAUUCCAUGGAGAGGGAGCUACCCUUUGGUUGUAUUGUCACUUGGCCUGUACAUGGAGAGCAGAUCAGAGAGGCAGGAAUGGUUGCAGAUUCCCCCAGAGGUGGCUGAACUUGGGCAAGUCACUUAACCUCUCUGAACCUGUGCCUUCAUCUGGAGAGCAAGGACAGUAACACUUGUCUUCUCUGAUUGUGUGAGGAUGAACAGAAUAAGUUAUGUGAAGCACUGGUAUACGGCAUCCCUGCCCUUUGACACUCACUGCCUUAUUAUGUGCUCUCAAAGCAUUUUGAUAUGUUGGGAAGGAACCUGUGGCAGCCAAGGUCCAAGGUCUUUGGUCCCUCCCAACAUUCGUGCAUUGUAGAAAUCCUGUGUUCUCACCCAGCAGUUUCGGCAAACACUUCCCCACCCCAAACUGCAUACAUUUAGACUGCUGACGAGACAAAAGAGCCAGAACAAAAAAAGGGCACAGAAGGUUGGGAACUCCAAGCCUCCAGGAGGAACUCCAGGCCUCUGGAACCUGUAUCAGUGCCUUUUACCUGCUACUACAGAGCCAAGAGCGUCCAGGACAAUUUCAGUUCUUAGCCUCCAAGUCUUAUCCAAUGUAAACUGACUAGGCACUGCCACAGCGCUGGCGAGAAGGUCCAGGUGUCUCCUCAUUGACUGGCUCCUGGAAGUCUAAUAAAACUCUACGAUCAUGGAGCUAGAAUGUGACAGCUGUGAAUCCUGGGGAAUUAACCUGCAGGAAUGCAAAAAGCAUUCCUACCCUCUGCAGAGGCCUGCCACUGCUUGUCCUGUUCUCUCAGGCCACAGCACCACUCUUCAGAGACUCAACUCUCUCUGAAAUCUUCCCAAGUCCCCUGCAUCCACAUCCUAGGAGAGUGGAGAUUCUACCACUCAUCCUGGGAUCUCUUAUCACAGGCCACACUUCACAUCUGAUGACUCAGGAACUUGGCCCCUCACAGCAAUGAUUAUCCCCGAUGAAAACUUGGCAAAGCCCUGGUCCAAGACAAAUGGAUCCUGGACAGCUCCCCACAUUCAAGCCAAACUUCACCCACAACUUCCAUUUUUUUUCCUCUCUUCAUUCAGUCCUUCAGCAACAGUGUGGAUAGUGGCACCCCUGUGACAGACACUUGCAGUGGUGGUGGCUGAGCUCCUUUCACCAGGCAAAUCAGAUGUCAUUCUGGUGACCUGUCAAUAAGCCCUAACUUUACGUGAUCACCUGUCCCAUAUUUUAUGAUCUGGGCCAUCCUAACCUCUUCAGAUACUGCUGCAAUGCUCCCCUCUCAGGUUCAAGUCACCAAGCUCUAAAAUAGAUCGUUGCGCUCUCUUCCUUCAUCUCUUACCCUGAUUCCUUCCUCCCUCCCUCGGGGUCUAUUUGCUCCAGCGCCAGGGCCAGGAGUCCAGGGCUCUAUUGUGUGAGCUCCUUGGGAGUAUGGAGCACAACUUUCGUCGUUCGCCCACCCGUGCUGUUUUUAAAAGGCAGGUCUCACUGUUUUUCCCACGCUGACCUCGAACCCCUGGGCUCAAGCGAUUUGCUUGCUCAGCCUCCCGGGUAGAGGGGACCCAGAGGCGAGCCAAGGCCCGGGGCUGCUUAUGCGUUUUCGGGCUCCUCACUAAACUUUCCCUCUUGCGGGCAGAGGCUGACUGUAUCAUAAUUUCCAUGCUGCAUUCCCAGGGGUGGGCCUUGGUAGGUAAGGGAUGACUAGCUUCGAGUAACCACAUGACAUUAAACUGUUCAAGCUGCCA